rnacentral:rRNA from 1 species
UCCCCUAGUAGCGGCGAGCGAACGGGGAGCAGCCCUUAAGCUGUUUAGUGUGUAGUGGAAUCCUUUGGGAAGAGGAGCGAUACCGGGUGAUAGCCCCGUACACGAAGCGUGCUUUACAGUGAAAUCGAGUAGGUCGGGACACGUGUUAUCUUGACUGAAUAUGGGGGGACCAUCCUCCAAGGCUAAAUACUCCUAACUGACCGAUAGUGAACUAGUACCGUGAGGGAAAGGUGAAAAGCACCCCGACGAGGGGAGUGAAACAGUACCUGAAACCGAACGCCUACAAUCAGUUGGAGGGCCCUUGCGGCCUGACAGCGUACCUUUUGUAUAAUGGGUCAUCGACUUGG